AUCCAGCUGACAGGUCCCAAAUAGGGCGAAAUACGCAUCCUGGAU
rnacentral:hammerhead_ribozyme from 1 species